UCCAUCAUCCAACUGCAGAAGG
rnacentral:misc_RNA from 1 species